UGGGGAAUCUUGGACAAUGGGCGAAAGCCUGAUCCAGCAAUGCCGCGUGAGUGAAGAAGGCCUUCGGGUUGUAAAGCUCUUUUGUCAGGGAAGAAACGGUGAGAGCUAAUAUCUUUUGCUAAUGACGGUACCUGAAGAAUAAGCACCGGCUAACUACGUGCCAGCAGCCGCGGUAAUACGUAGGGUGCAAGCGUUAAUCGGAAUUACUGGGCGUAAAGUGUGCGCAGGCGGCCGAGCAAGUCGAGUGUGAAAGCCCCGAGCUUAACUUGGGAAUUGCGCUCGAAACUACUUGGCUGGAGUGUGGCAGAGGAGGGUGGAAUUCCACGUGUAGCGGUGAAAUGCGUAGAGAUGUGGAGGAACACCGAUGGCGAAGGCAGUCCCCUGGGCCUGUACUGACGCUCAUGCACGAAAGCGUGGGGAGCAAACAGGAUUAGAUACCCAGGUAGUCCCUGAGCGGGCUGGCAAGGCGCAU
rnacentral:rRNA from 1 species